GAGUUGGCGUCCUUAUUUUCUCAAGCAAGCGUAGGUUCAGUGGAAUGGGAGCAUUAUUUUUGAAGGGCCAAGGCUGCAUAGUUUGUACGCACAUCAAAGAGAAACUUGGAAUGUUUUUGUGCUUGGAUCUCGUUCGGAAGUACUACAUCAUGCAAUACCCAAGUAAGUGGCGUCACCUGAUGAGCUCCACGCGCAGAGGAGGCGUCUCCAUGGGUUCCCCGAGGUGAGCGCGAUGCUGAUGCUCAAAUUAUCUUUUGAGUUAAUGCAUGAGUGAUAAUCAUGCAAAGUACAGUGUAUUACUAUUCCCUUAUGAGAAAAUUUUAUCUUGCUCCCAGGAACAACAAGACAUUUGAAUUGGUUGCCGAUGACUUAUCAAUUCUUUGAAAUAGACUACGAUCCAUGGUGGCUGUUGAGGUUAGUAAUUAGUGCAUGCUACUCAUAUCAACACUCUGGUGCUAGGCUGCUGAUGGCAUGUUGUUUGGAUGUUUCUUUUAAGACUUUGUUUGGCAAAUACAAAUUAAUUAUUAAGAAAUAUACUAAUUCUGUGUGAAGCUCCACAACAUAAAUUUGCAAUGUGUAGAUAGAAGUUGAAAUCAUAAGCAACAAUGCAACAUAGGAUAGUUUACCUGUAGACUGAGGUGUCUCCGGACAGAUAUGAGGAAGUUAUUUACCUUCCACUGAGAAAGAAUAGAUUGUUGUGAGUUUCCACUCGAAAAAGUUAUCUAGAAUAGGAUUAGCAUCUUUUAAUCCUGUCGAGUCGGUGUAUUGAUACUGUUCAUAAUCAUGGCGCACUUGUACUGUUUGCAGAAAUCUUCACUUUGGAACUUGAUAAAAGAUGUAAAACCUUCGGAUCUAAGUAUAGUCCAUAGAGAUGUCCCUCCUGAAACUGUUGAUGCAAUGAAAAGGACUGUUUCAGGCAUAUUGGGUCUGCUUCCGUCUGAUAAGUGAGAGGGCGACCCCUGGCUCGGUACUUAUUUAUUUUGGUUAUUACCACAUGCAUGUAAAGCACCCCAACCAUUAGACAUUUAAUUCCAUCACAAAUAGUAAGAUCCACACGGAUAAUAUCUCCACUCAGUUAUUCAAUGAAUUGCUCUAAGAUUAAAUUGUGCCUCACCGAUAUUUUUAUGAGUCUACUAUUUAUACACUCAUACACAGAGUAAUCGCAAAAGAUCGUGGCAUAAUUUUGGUACAAACAGGUACCUUGAUCAACUUGGAAUGGCAUCGAAGUACAACACAAAAGUGUUCUGCAGGCGGACUCUCAUCGGAGGCAACUACGGUUUGCUUGACACGAAGACAUUCUUACCUAUCCUAAUUACUACAGGCAAGACUCACAUUUGUAAAAAAAAUUGUAGUCAGUCGCUGCAAUGUUUUCUAGAACGUGGCUCAUAUGUGUUGAUCCCUCCUUCUGUUCUCAGUGCUCUGCUAGGGCAUCGGCUUAUGGGCAAUGGAGUUCUCUCAGUUGAUAUAAAUGCACCGCGCAAGCUGCGUGCUUAUGCUCACUUCAGCAAGCGACACGUAAGAAUCCGACGUUGUGUCAUUCUUAAAGUGAACUGCUUGAGAUACUUUAUAUUUGUUACCAAUGUUGAAGUGAUAUGGCUGUUCUUCUUAACUUGCUAAGUUACUUGUGUCUGAAGAGUUACUUCAACUACCAUUGAAACAUCAGCUUGAUCAAUCAUUUCUGCUGUUCUCAGCAAAGCUUUGCAUAUUCCACAAUGCAGAAAGGUGUCAUACUCCUCCUGUUCAACCUAAGCAGCAGCACUGGGUACAACGCGACCCUCUAGAACGACCUCAAGUCCUCAACCUGAACUUCAAAAAAAUAAGCGGCCACUAGAGGCGCAGCGGCGGCCUCAGAAGAGCGGUGUCAUGGCUGGGAAGCAAGCCGUUG